CAUAAAUUACUAACACAAAUACAGUUUUUUCACGAAGGUUUUCUCUCAUUAGAGUGCAAGGUAACUGAAUGUAGACUUAUUUCAACUUGAAACACAUCUUCAGAAAAACUUAUAAGUUAAACACUUGCGAAAGUCGCAGAUUCAGAUUUGAAUUUUAAGAUGAAGCUUCUUUGGAUAAUGGUAUUCUGCGCUGCGGUCAUCACUCUUGUUCGAAGUAAGCCUGUAUCGAGGACUCUAACCAAAGAAACUCUGAAAGUCCACAAUCAUGCUUUAACUGGUUCUAGGAUGAUGCCCAAAAGAUUUAAAAGAUCGCCCCAAGAUGUAACCCCUUCUGGAAUGGAUCCUCCAGAAGAUAUGUCUACUCCCCCAGAGGAAAUGUCUACUCAUCCACGACAUUAAUCCACUCCUCCACCGGAAACGACUACUCUAUCCCCUACGACCACCACCGAAAGUGCUAACAAUGGAGGAAUAAUAGACGACAUAUAUGGAUUUUUCUAUGGUAUUUUUCAUUUUAUCAGCGGUAUUUUCGGUUUCAUCUUUUGAAACGAACUACUUUUUGAAACUCCAUUUCAAAGCAUACGAAGCAAAUGGAGUAUUUUACAACUGUAUAAUUUAUUGUGCAAUUUCAUUAUGAUUUUGAAAUGUUCAAAUCUAAAAAAAGUUCUGUAAUAAUGCUUUUAAGAACAAUAAAGCUUUUAAAAUUUA